AUCAGUGUAAACUUUGACUCGUGUACUGAGACUUCUGGAAAAGACAGCACACUAGCUUGGGAGUCUGACCCCCUUCCUUAAACUCAACCUGAAAUGCUACAUAAGCAACUGGGAGAAUGACUGCUAACAGAAUCAGUACAGCUCUUGCGGUAGCAGAAGGUGUUAGGUGAUUUUCUGGGAGAGAGCAGCCCAUACCCGAAGAGAACCAGCUGUCACUAAUGAGGGGACACUGUGGGAAGGAGCUUUCUAGUUGUCCUAAGGUUUUCAUCCUUCGUUGCCUCAGAGGGAGCAUUGUUUUCCCCCAUCCCUGCAGGUGGGGAAACACAGCAUCCCCAGGACGGCACAUGAGGAAGAGGGAGGCGACAUGCGAGUGCUGAGGAGGAACCCCGGACGCCACCAUUUCACAUGGAAGAGGCAGGCGACAUGUGAGUGCUGAGGAGGAACCCCGGACGCCACCAUUUCACAUGAAGAGGCAGGCGACAUGCGAGUGCCGGAGAGGAACCCCGGACGCCACCAUUUCACAUGGAAGAGGCAGGCGACAUGCGAGUGCUGGAGAGGAACCCCGGACGCCACCAUUUCACAUGGAAGAGGCAGGCGACAUGCGAGUGCUGAGGAGGAACCCUGGACGCCACUAUUUCACAUGGAAGAGGCAGGCGACAUGCGAGUGCUGAGGAGGAACCCCGGAUGCCACCAUUUCACAUGAAGAGGCAGGCGACAUGCGAGUGCUGGAGAGGAACCCCGGACGCCACCAUUUCACAUGGAAGAGGCAGGCGACAUGCGAGUGCUGGAGAGGAACCCCGGACGCCACCA
rnacentral:lncRNA from 1 species